GAUGAACGCUGGCGGCGUGCCUAAUACAUGCAAGUCGAGCGAACGGACGAGAAGCUUGCUUUUCUGAUGUUAGCGGCGGACGGGUGAGUAACACGUGGAUAACCUACCUAUAAGACUGGGAUAACUUCGGGAAACCGGAGCUAAUACCGGAUAAUAUUUUGAACCGCUUGGUUCAAAAGUGAAAGACGGUCUUGCUGUCACUUAUAGAUGGAUCCGCGCUGCAUUAGCUAGUUGGUAAGGUAACGGCUUACCAAGGCAACGAUGCAUAGCCGACCUGAGAGGGUGAUCGGCCACACUGGAACUGAGACACGGUCCAGACUCCUACGGGAGGCAGCAGUAGGGAAUCUUCCGCAAUGGGCGAAAGCCUGACGGAGCAACGCCGCGUGAGUGAUGAAGGUCUUCGGAUCGUAAAACUCUGUUAUUAGGGAAGAACAUAUGUGUAAGUAACUGUGCACAUCUUGACGGUACCUAAUCAGAAAGCCACGGCUAACUACGUG
rnacentral:rRNA from 1 species